GAUGAACGCUGGCGGCGUGCCUAAUACAUGCAAGUCGAGCGAACGGACGAGAAGCUUGCUUCUCUGAUGUUAGCGGCGGACGGGUGAGUAACACGUGGAUAACCUACCUAUAAGACUGGGAUAACUUCGGGAAACCGUAGCUAAUACCGGAUAAUAUUUUGAACCGCAUGGUUCAAAAGUGAAAGACGGUCUUGCUGUCACUUAUAGAUGGAUCCGCGCUGCAUUAGCUAGUUGGUAAGGUAACGGCUUACCAAGGCAACGAUGCAUAGCCGACCUGAGAGGGGGGACGGGCAAACCUGAAAUGGAGCACGGUCCCAACCCCCUAGGGGAGGCAGCGUAGGGAAACUUCCGGAAAGGGCGGAAGGCUUGCGGGGCAACCGCGGGGGGGGUGAGAAAGUCCUCGGAUCGGUAAACUCUGUUAUUAAGGAAAAACAUAUUUGGAAGUAACUGGGCACCACCUUGAGGUACCUUAAUAGAAAGCCACGGCUAACUACGUG
rnacentral:rRNA from 1 species